rnacentral:rRNA from 1 species
GACGAACGCUGGCGGCGUGCUUAACACAUGCAAGUCGAACGGAAAGGCCCUGCUUUUGUGGGGUGCUCGAGUGACGAACGGGUGAGUAACAUGUGAGUAACCUGCCCUUGACUUUGGGAUAACUUCAGGAAACUGGGGCUAAUACCGGAUAGGAGCUCCUGCUGCAUGGUGGGGGUUGGAAAGUUUCGGCGGUUGGGGAUGGACUCGCGGCUUAUCAGCUUGUUGGUGGGGUAGUGGCUUACCAAGGCUUUGACGGGUAGCCGGCCUGAGAGGGUGACCGGCCACAUUGGGACUUAGGUACGGCCCAGACUCCUACGGGAGGCAGCAGUGGGGAAUAUUGCACAAUGGACGGAAGCCUGAUGCAGCAACGCCGCGUGCGGGAUGACGGCCUUCGGGUUGUAAACCGCUUUCGCCUGUGACGAAGCGUGAGUGACGGUAAUGGGUAAAGAAGCACCGGCUAACUACGUG